rnacentral:rRNA from 1 species
UGGGGAAUAUUGCACAAUGGGGGAAACCCUGAUGCAGCGACGCCGCGUGAAGGAUGAAGUAUUUCGGUAUGUAAACUUCUAUCAGCAGGGAAGAAAAUGACGGUACCUGACUAAGAAGCCCCGGCUAACUACGUGCCAGCAGCCGCGGUAAUACGUAGGGGGCAAGCGUUAUCCGGAUUUACUGGGUGUAAAGGGAGCGUAGACGGAUGUGCAAGUCUGAAGUGAAAGCCCGGGGCUCAACCCCUGGACUGCAUUGGAAACUGUUGAUCUUGAGUACCGGAGGGGUAAGCGGAAUUCCUAGUGUAGCGGUGAAAUGCGUAGAUAUUAGGAGGAACACCAGUGGCGAAGGCGGCUUACUGGACGGUAACUGACGUUGAGGCUCGAAAGCGUGGGGAGCAAACAGGAUUAGAUACCC